GAACGAACGAAGUGUUUGUGCGAGCAGGCCAAGGCAGAAAGUUGCAAGGAGACUAUUAGUGCCACGAAACCAGCCACCGCCGCCUGUAGCAUCAUCCGGUGCCCGUGCUGCAAGUUCAGUCGUAACGCCUGUGGAGGGGGAUCCGACCCCAUGGAGAAAGUAGGGGCUGACGAGCUGCGUUUAAGUAUGCUUUGCUGGUGCUUUUAGCUAUUUCAAAAGACGCAAGAAGUGGCCCGACAUCACUUGGCCAUAGGCUGCUCUUCCUCAUCUCAAUGAGCAUAACUCUUGGAACACUGGCUCCGCCAAAAAACUAGCCAUAAAGUUCAAGGUAAAGUUUUUAAACCAUGUACUUUUUGCCAUCUCAUGUGAGCUGCCAUACACACAUAGAUGAAUCUUUGUUGUUGCUUGGAGGUAGACUUCAUGCUUCUCUCCCAGCAGCCCAGCUCUCUUCUCUUUCUAUUAUGUAUUACUUUUCUUUGAUUUAUGCUUUAAUGACCAAAGUAUGCAUGCUCACUCCCUGCGUGUGAAGGAGAAAUGCACCGGUGUUUAAAUAAACACCAUAAAAGGAUGCGAAAAGUUAAAGGACCCCUUGUGACUUUUUUUACUGUAAUUUGUAGCCUUGUGUCUGGAAAUGCCGAAAUUGAGUGAGUCAUAAAUGCUCUGACAUAUCGUAUAAUUAAUGCUAGUGUGUCUAAUUCUGGCCACUUUUAGCUUCAUUUUGAAACACCCGCCUGAGAUUGUAAGAAACUACUUCCCCACAGCGGGGAAGCACCUAGGACAUUGUGCGCUAAAGGUUUGGUGACAUUGACAGCGCAGUUUUCAAAUCGGGGGCCCCGCGUGCGAUAAAGAAUGAAACGAUGUGGGUGCUUCGGUAUGAGCUAAGCCGGUUAAGUGCAUGUCCCCUCAGGAAAAUGAAAAGCAUUCCUGGCUUAAGCAGCCAAAACCACCCUGAGAGCAGCCCGACAACUGAGCGAGAGGGACGAGAAACAAUAGCCCUCGUCAGGUGCCAGUGGUGGUAUUGUGUGCAUCCUGUCCAUCUUUUGUGACGUCAACAAUACUGGCUUUUCUUGUGGAACGUCACACGGGGCCUUCAUCUAUGUCAUAUUAGUGGAGGUGUCACAAGGUGCUGCCAACUCAGAUGAGCGCUCACGCUUACUUUAAAACCAAAUUAAGAUAUCUUAAAGGUAACGUUUGCCACUAUUAAUUGGCCAGAAGUGCCCACGUGUGCAGGACAAUCAAACAACACAAACAUCUCGAGGUCUUGAUUUUGCUGUCAGGGGCCCAUUAAACGGAACUAAAAGUAUGCAGAGGGGACAAGAGCCGUACGGGUCCACCCUAUGUGUUUUUAAAAGCUGUAAAUGAUUUAAAGUAGUACUGUGUAUUCUACUUUAGGAGACCGGUAAGCAGUCAUCAUACUUGCAGAAAAACUUUUUUUCAUAAAAACGUUACCAAGCUUAUGUUGAAUGCACUAGUCUUUCUUUGAUGGAAAUGAUUUCAGUAACAUUAUUUUGUCACUGUAUAACCAUAGCGGUAGCGAUCUUGCCAUGCUUUCUUUUGUUCUUCAGCUUUCGAAUAAUAUUCUUCUAUGUAGGAGUGUGUUUUCCCAUCAUUAUGUUUUUUGGUAAACAGAACGAUUACUUUAUUGAAGAGACUGAUGCUGGGACUGCUGGUACAUAGUUCAAAAUGUAUGUAGGGAAGGAGGAAUUGUACAAGCACAGACACCCAGUGUGUGUGUGCAUUCCAUUACUUCCUCUUGUGUAAGACUCCUUGAGGCUGAGUGUUGUUCUUUCAAACUCUUUUAGUGAAAUUGUAUGAGCUAUGUUUAUUGCACAAAAAUAAAGCAGUCUUUAUAACUGAAAUCUUGACUGACUCAAAUGAAAUAAUUUCACUUUUCACACAGCUUAAAAUUUUAUUUAACUACGAAACAAAAAGGGGGCGCCGACCAUUCUAAACAGAACAUUGAUGACGUUUCGACUUCCAGCAUGGAAGCCUUGUUCACGAUGAAUACAUCAUCAGAAGUGGCUCGUUUUAUUUGGAAGACGAAACGUCAUAAACAUUUUGUUUGGACUGGUCUGUCUCUCUUUUUUAUUUCAAAUGUACCCUCCUAGCCAGACUGGAUUCCGCCAUGAUCCCGACUUCAAAUGUCAUUUAACGUACCAAGUAAGUGCUCACUGAACAGCAACAUCUUGUGUUGACAAGUGUGUAGAAGACUAGGAGUGGCACAGUCAUCAUUAGGAUCCAUUCAGUGUGUUCUAAUAAAGGAAGAUGUCGAUGGAGGGCUUCACCAUGGUGACAGCGGCUCAUCCUUUUUUCUUCAAUUGUGUUUUUCUCCAUAAUACAUUGAGAGCCAAUCUUUGAGAUAGAGACUUAGGACAGAAAGCUAGGGCUAUUUCUGAAGUGUAGUAGCUUGUAAUGUUUUAAUUGUCAUAAUCUUUCGCAAGUGGCAAAAAUUGAUUUUCUUAAUGAGUGGGACCUUUAAUCUUUGUUUUUGCAAUCAAAUUUUUUUUUGCUAUCACACAAAAAAAAGGUACAAAAUCGAAUUUUUGAACUUCGCGCCGAACCCUACUACCGGUCAGUCAACAUGACGUCACUAAUCGAUUUUAUUUUUUUUUUAUCUACGGCUGGUUUCUGCAGAUCAAAAUGUUGCGAAGCCUCAGCGAGAGUGGAAAAGCGCGAGACUAUCUUUGUUCCACACCUUGAGCUCAGCCAAAUAACCCAGAAGUAUGUUACACAGUAAUAAAUGUUUCCCAUGGAGAAAAAGUUCUCUAUUUUAUGCAUUUAUGAUUGGCGCCCGCAAAUGACGGAUCGAUUGAAGGCGCUUAAAAAUCGCGAUUUCGGUUUCGGUUUCUGAUUGCGCGAAGCGCCACCUGCUUCCUGCUGCAAGCGUCGUGGCGACUUCCUGUUUACUUUUCUGGCUCCAACGCGUGCGUUCAACUUCCAAACUUCUGCGCUGUUCUACGUGACAUUGUGAAAUCUAUAUGGAUAUAUACGUGGUGGUCCUAUGUAGCACCACCCGGAGCAUCAAGCACCAAUAUUUGAUAUGCGACACUUUGCCUACUGGUCGUCAGAAGUCACACUGCGAAAAAAGUUCGGCAUAUCCCUCGCCUUGUGGGAAUCGGUUCCAUGCAAAGCAGUCAGCGAGUAGCUGUGCGUGCUGCAUUUUUUGGCUUUGAGCCAAGGAAUACAAAUGUAAAGCUUAUUAGACUGCUUGA
rnacentral:lncRNA from 1 species